rnacentral:scRNA from 1 species
AUCGCCAUGAAGGUUACGUCCACCGGUAGCCA